ACUCCUACGGGAGGCAGCAGUGGGGAAUAUUGCACAAUGGGCGCAAGCCUGAUGCAGCCAUGCCGCUGUGGUGAAGAAGGCCUUCGGGUUNUAAAGCACUUUCAGUUGUGAGGAAAGGUUAGUCGCUAAUAUCGGCUAGCUCGUGACGUUAGCAAUAGAAGAAGCACCGGCUAACUCCGUGCCAGAGCCCGCGGUAAUACGGAGGGUGCGAGCAGUUAAUCGGAAUUACUGGGCGUAAAGCGCAUGCAGGUGGUUUGUUAAGUCAGAUGUG
rnacentral:rRNA from 1 species